AAAGAUUUGUGAGGGGCAAUUUGGAGGAUGAGUUACUCUGUUAUAAAGGAAUUUUGAAUUAAAAAUGAAAGCUACUUUUAAAUUUCAUAGUAGAUGGAGAAAGGCUUGUCUAUAGUUGCUCCCUUCUUGUAGCACUUGAGUCUGUUAGUACUGCUGUUUCAUACCUCCACCCUUACAAGCAGGUUGGGCAUCAAUAUGACCUCACCAUCUUGGAAACGCUUGGAGAUGUGUAUGUUGGUAUCAUGCUAGGGAAAAAAAAAGGAAUGCUGUUUUGUAAAUAAGCUCUACCACAGUCUACUUUGUUGUUCACAUCUGGGAGAAUGUAAGCUAAAUCUCAUCCAAGUAUUAUUAAGCUUGUCCUUUCAUUGAGAUUUAAUUUAGCUGAUCAUACUCUUUUUCUUUAGACAGUUGGACAUGGAAUGUUACCAAAGCCGUGUUCUCCUUUUUAGGAAAGUAGAUAAAGAAGAGAAAAUAUUUGUUUUGGGAUGGCUGUACCUCGAAUUUGAUUUACUGGGAGGCCUGCAUCUAGAAAUCCAACCCUUGGAUGCUCCACUGUCAGAUGCACUUAGAACCAUACCACAGAGACAGAUUAAUGGAAUUUUUCAUCCCAGCAUUGAGUUUGAGAGGAAUUGUCUUCAAUAAAUAGAAGAAUAAGACCUAGUUUUGUCAGAGACUUGCAACAGAAGACCUAGAAUGCCUUUACUCAUAAAUAUAAUCUAUUUCAUAGCAUUUUGGUGAGAUUUAGUUUUGAAAAUACCUUAUGAUCUUUGGAAAGCUGUUAAAACCACGUAUACAGAUGUAAAUCAUUUUAAAAAGUUACUCUAUUGUACAAAGCAUAACUAAGAAUGUCAUGUACAAUUUUGGCAAUCCAUAUUCAAGUACAAUGAGGUCUGGAGUAGAUCUCAGGCUGCUAAAAUCAGGAGGAAGAUCAAAAGAUUUUAGUUGCUUAGCCUCACAGAAGAAGGACAUUGAGAAGGCGGUAGGAUUAUCCGUUCUUAGUAGGGACCAAAUACUAGGGAUGAAAUGGGAGAGCACAGCUAUUUAAGCUGAAGAUUUAAAGGGCUAUAAUGUGUCAUUGAAUAACCUUAGGACAGAAAUUAGAAGAUCAUUUCCAACUGUCAAAGAAGCAAAGAUCUGAAGCUCUUGAGAAUGAAAAUAACGAGAGUAAAUGCAACGAGUUUAACAUAAGACUUGUCUGCUAAGAAAGCUUGUGACUGUGACCUCACCAAAUACUGCAGUAGUUGCCAAUGGCCUGGACUCUCAGCUCAGAGGCACCACUUACAGUCCCUGUACUGCAGGUUUUGCAGCUAUAGUCCAAACCUGUUUUACUUCCAGGUAUACCUUUCUUUUUAUUUCCAUAUGACAACAGAAAUAGCUAUCUGGAAGAGCUGCCAGCCACAAACCGCAUGCUCCCAAAUAUAUGCUUUAAGCAGGCUAAAAGGAUUUCUAGGUCUGUGGCUUCUACUUCAGAGGCUGGAACACCAUCACAGCAUGUUUGGUAGUAGAACCUCCAGGUGUGCAGAUAAAAUAUUCCUUUAGUUAUGUUAUGUUUUUACUUAAGUUCUUGAAAAAUAUUGAUGUAGGAAAAUAAUGGUUUUAGCAGAAAGGUAGUAUAUUAUUGUGACUGUGAACUUCUGUUUUU
ensembl:lncRNA